ACCAGACUCCUACGGGAGGCAGCAGUGGGGAAUAUUGCACAAUGGGGGGAACCCUGAUGCAGCGACGCCGCGUGAGUGAAGAAGUAUUUCGGUAUGUAAAGCUCUAUCAGCAGGGAAGAUAAUGACGGUACCUGACUAAGAAGCCCCGGCUAACUACGUGCCAGCAGCCGCGGUAAUACGUAGGGGGCAAGCGUUAUCCGGAUUUACUGGGUGUAAAGGGUGCGUAGGUGGCAGGGCAAGUCAGAUGUGAAAGCCCGGGGCCCAACCCCGGUACUGCAUUUGAAACUGUCCGGCUGGAGUGCAGGAGAGGUAAGCGGAAUUCCUAGUGUAGCGGUGAAAUGCGUAGAUAUUAGGAGGAACACCAGUGGCGAAGGCGGCUUACUGGACUGUAACUGACACUGAGGCACGAAAGCGUGGGGAGCAAACAGGAUUAGAUACCCUGGUAU
rnacentral:rRNA from 1 species